rnacentral:rRNA from 1 species
UACGUAAGUGGCGAGCGUUAUCCGGAAUUACUGGGCGUAAAGCGUGCGUAGGCGGUUUAGUGUGUGGAAUUGAAAGCCCGGGGCUCAACUCCGGAUCCGGUUCCCAAACUGCUAGACUCGAGAGUAUCAGAGGAGAGCGGAAUUCCCGGUGUAGCGGUAAUAUGCGUAGAUAUUCGGAAGAACACCAGUGGCGAAGGCGGCUCACUGGCCCGGUACUGACGCUGAGGUGCGAAAGCGUGGGGAGCAAACAGG